AGCGAACGCUGGCGGCAUGCCUAACACAUGCAAGUCGAGCGCUCCCAGCAAUGGGGGAGCGGCGGACGGGUGAGUAACGCGUAGGAACGUAUCCUGAGGUGGGGGAUAACCCUGGGAAACUAGGGCUAAUACCGCAUGAUGGCGAGAGCCCAAAGAUUUAUCGCCUUGGGAGCGGCCUGCGUCUGAUUAGCUGGUUGGUGGGGUAACGCCUACCAAGGCGAUGAUCAGUAGCUGGUCUGAGAGGAUGAUCAGCCACACUGGGACUGAGACACGGCCCAGACUCCUACGGGAGGCAGCAGUGGGGAAUAUUGGACAAUGGGCGAAAGCCUGAUCCAGCAAUGCCGCGUGGGAUGAAGAAGGUCUUCGGAUUGUAAAGUCCUUUCGGCGGGGACGAUGAUGACGGUACCCGCAGAAGAAGCCCCGGCUAACUUCGUGCCAGCAGCCGCGGUAAGGCACGACUGU
rnacentral:rRNA from 1 species